rnacentral:rRNA from 1 species
CCUACGGGAGGCAGCAGUGGGGAAUAUUGGACAAUGGGCGCAAGCCUGACCCAGCAACGCCGCGUGCAGGAAGACGGCUUUCGGGUUGUAAACUUCUUUUGUCAGGGACGAGUAGAAGACGGUACCUGACGAAUAAGCCACGGCUAACUACGUGCAAGCAGCCGCGGUAAUACGUUGGUGGCAAGCGCUGUCCGGAUUUACUGGGUGUAAAGGGCGUGUAGACGGGUUGACAAGUCAGAUGUGAAAUCCUGCGGCUUAACCGCAGAACUGCAUUUGAAACUGUUGAGCUUGAGUACUGGAGAGGGAGACGGAAUUCCUAGUGUAGCGGUGAAAUGCGUAGAUAUUAGGAGGAACACCAGUGGCGAAGGCGGUCUGCUGGACAGCAACUGACGGUGAGGCGCGAAAGCGUGGGGAGCAAACAGGAUUAGAUACCCUUGUAGUC